rnacentral:rRNA from 1 species
UAGGGAAUCUUCCGCAAUGGGCGAAAGCCUGACGGAGCAACGCCGCGUGAGUGAUGAAGGUCUUCGGAUCGUAAAACUCUGUUAUUAGGGAAGAACAAAUGUGUAAGUAACUAUGCACGUCUUGACGGUAUCUAACCAGAAAGCCACGGCUAACUACGUGCCAGCAGCCGCGGUAAUACGUAGGUGGCAAGCGUUGUCCGGAUUUAUUGGGCGUAAAGCGAGCGCAGGCGGUCAAUUAAGUCUGAUGUGAAAGCCCCCGGCUCAACCGGGGAGGGUCAUUGGAAACUGGUUGACUUGAGUGCAGAAGAGGAGAGUGGAAUUCCAUGUGUAGCGGUGAAAUGCGUAGAUAUAUGGAGGAACACCAGUGGCGAAGGCGACUUUCUGGUCUGUAACUGACGCUGAUGUGCGAAAGCGUGGGGAUCAAACAGG